AGAAAAAUAAGCUAAUUAAGCUAUUAGGCCCAUACCCUACUCAUAGAAGUAAAUAAUCUUCUUUUUUCUA
rnacentral:tRNA from 1 species